UACGUAGGGUCCGAGCGUUGUCCGGAAUUAUUGGGCGUAAAGAGCUCGUAGGUGGUUUGUCACGUUGUUCGUGAAAACUCACAGCUCAACUGUGGGCGUGCGGGCGAUACGGGCAGACUAGAGUACUGCAGGGGAGACUGGAAUUCCUGGUGUAGCGGUGGAAUGCGCAGAUAUCAGGAGGAACACCGGUGGCGAAGGCGGGUCUCUGGGCAGUAACUGACGCUGAGGAGCGAAAGCGUGGGGAGCGAACAGG
rnacentral:rRNA from 1 species